rnacentral:rRNA from 1 species
GACGAACGCUGGCGGCGUGCUUAACACAUGCAAGUCGAACGGAAAGGCCCUGCUUUUGUGGGUGCUCGAGUGGCGAACGGGUGAGUAACACGUGAGUAACCUGCCCUUGACUUUGGGAUAACUUCAGGAAACUGGGGCUAAUACCGGAUAGGAGCUCCUGCUGCAUGGUGGGGGUUGGAAAGUUUCGGCGGUUGGGGAUGGACUCGCGGCUUAUCAGCUUGUUGGUGGGGUAGUGGCUUACCAAGGCUUUGACGGGUAGCCGGCCUGAGAGGGUGACCGGCCACAUUGGGACUGAGAGAGGGCCCAGAGUGCUACGGGAGGCAGCAGUGGGGAAUAUUGCACAAUGGGCGGAAGCCUGAUGCAGCAACGCCGCGUGCGGGAUGACGGCCUUCGGGUUGUAAACCGCUUUCGCCUGUGACGAAGCGUGAGUGACGGUAAUGGGUAAAGAAGCACCGGCUAACUACGUG